CGGCCACUUGACAAAAUAUGGGCCAUUGUGGAUCGAUGGCCUGGAUACUGUAUGAAUUUCAGCGCGAAAGGCUACCUAAAUCAAAUCAACCUCUCCGACCAAGGUGCAGGAGUUGAGACAAACUUAAGUGAAAAGUGAGCGCUUCAAUGGGGAGAUUUCUGAUGAGCUCAUAGCCCACAACUGCUUCUUCCCUGAUGAGUACUUCACCUGCUCCGGCCUCUGCCUCGUUUGCGGGCCUGGUGAAGGGUGCUGCGCGUCCUGCCUACUGGGUGCCUGACCACAUAUCCUCUCCUGCCACAUCUGCCACCGUGACUUCACUGCCAAGCUGUCUAAGCACCACUGUCACGCCUGCGAGCAAGACGUGUGUGACGAAUGCUCCCCAGAGCGUCGACCGGUCCCCUUGCGAGAGUAGGACCACAGUGUCCAUGUUUGUGCAAACUGCAACCAGAAACCUGGCGACCUUUUAAUGGGACUGGCCCUCCUUCCUCAGAACACUGGACUGAACCACUCUCUCAAACCUCAUAUACCUCAUAUACCUCCAUUAUUGAAAUGGAUCGUUCCCAUAUCUGUGGCAAGGAUGUUGUUAGUAAAUCUAGUUUUAGGGUUUCUGAUGCCUUGUAAAAAAUGUAUGUAUAAUAGUAAUGUAAUUUGACUAUCGAAUGACCUUUUCCGCAUUCACCCAAAUCAGUGCUUUUUUUGAUGGAUAAUGGUUGUGAAAUAUUUUUCUAGCAUGGAAUAAAAUGACAUUUGUAUCAUGUAAA